rnacentral:rRNA from 1 species
UGCCAUCAGCCGCGGUAAUACGUAGGGGGCGAGCGUUGUCCGGAAUCAUUGGGCGUAAAGCGCGUGUAGGCGGCUCGGCAAGUCUGGUGUGAAAUCUUGGGGCUCAACUCCAAGCCUGCACCGGAAACUGCCUUGCUUGAGUCCGGGAGGGGAGAGCGGAAUUCCUAGUGUAGCGGUGAAAUGCGCAGAUAUUAGGAAGAACACCGGUGGCGAAAGCGGCUCUCUGGUCCGUCACUGACGCUGAGGUGCGAAAGCGUGGGGAGCAAACAGGAUUAGAUA